rnacentral:lncRNA from 1 species
GGCAGGAGGCAGAUGGAGGAGGAGAGAAAGGCCAGAGGUCUGUUUUGGGGUUGUUGUCUCUGGUUGUCUAAGUCAUGCCAAGACACCACCCCUUGGAGCCUGGUUCCUGACAUCCGGCAGCAUGGCAUACUUGAAGGGCAUGAUGUGGGGAUAACAACAGAGCCCUGGCUGAGUCCGGUGGCUCACGCCUGUAAUCCCAGCACUUUGGGAGGCCGAGGCAGGCGGAUCACCUGAGGUCAGGAGUUUGAGACCAGCCUGGUCCACGUGACAAAACCCUGUCUCUACUGAAAAUACAAAAAAAGUUUGCCGGGCAUGGUGGCACACACACACACACGCACGCACACACACACACACAUGCCCCCAUAAGCAUCCCAGUAUUUGGAAGCAAUCAGUUGAUUUUUUUUCUUUUUAGAAUUCAGUUUGGUGUUAUAGGGACACUGCUAGCCUCAGGCAGUGCCGCAAGAGCAGAUCAAGGCUCUGAUUAAAAAAUUCCUCAGUUGCUCCCAGCUGGAGAUGUCUGCUU